GCCAGGUAGGCACUUAUGCUACUGAGCUACAUUCCUGGCCUGCUGUGAUAGUUUUUUUGAUGCUGAUUACUUUUGUAAAUUUUCACUUUGCUCUGGGUUUGGGAGCCAUUUGGUUCUUUCAGGUCUCACUCUUAGGUCUUCAUGGGAAGAAUAAAGCAGCAUUUAAUCUGAGGCAAUGUCUGCCCCACUCCACCUCACAUGAGCCUGCAUGGGGUAAGAGAGAGAAAACCACCAACCCUCAACCAGCAGUAGGCAGAGAACCCUGGUAUCUUAAGUUGGAGGCCACAUGGGUGCUGUCUGGAGUUCAGUGUUGCACUGGGGCCUCCUCUCUGCCAGGCACUUUCCUCAAAGGCAGAAAAGCAGCACAGUUCUCACAGUCCGUGUCCGGUGUCCUCAAACAGUGUGGCCUGUUAAAGGAGGCCCUCCUCAGUGCUCUCUCCGGCCCCUACUCUUUCCUGACUCUAUUCUUUCUUACUGGCCUCACCACCAGGAGCUCUCCUGAUCCGUUACCUACAGCCUGCAAGGUGCACACAGGACCCUGAUUUCUCCUUGAUUUGAUUGUCACCGAGCAGUCUCUGUGCCAGACUGGAUGCCAGCCUAGGAGACCAGGUUCUGCAGCCAGUGUCACAGGGAUACAAUGAGGACACAUCAAUAGUCACACAGCUUCUGCUAGAGUUUUCAGUGUGCUGGGAACCCUGCUGCUUCUCUGUGCACAAACCAUGAAGCUGACUGUUACUACCUGCUGAAACAGAGGCUCUGAGGGGCCAGGGGCUGGCCAUAGACCUGGAGAAGAAGCCCGGCAAAUUUUGCCUCUGUCAGGGCUACCCUCCACCCACUGCCCUACCUGCCUCCUACCCUCCUGUCCCCUUCUCAUCUUCCACUGGUUCUCUUACCCUCCUCCACUCCUUCCCAACAGAUUGUACAGGGAGGUGACAUGGCUGUGGGGAGAUUCAGGAUCCCCAGGGCCAGUGAGGAGGGUCUGUGGCCAAAGGAUCUUUGUGGCGGGGGGAUGUCUGUGGUUCCCUUAGGGGGAAGAGUCAACUCCAAACAUACAGAGAAAAUGAACUGCAGCAGUUGACCCUAACCCCUACCUCUCCUUAACCCUUGAGGGGCUGAGGGAGAGACAAUGAACCAAGGCCCUCUUGCUCACUGUGAAACUGCUCUGGCUGUCACACAGACUGGCAUUCUAACUAUAGAAAGGCAACUUUUUACCACUGCUAAAAAAAAAAAAAUACUGUAAGCAACAGAAACAUUUUUGAUAAGCUCAGAAUGACAGACAAACCUUAGAACCACUGUAGAUUUCACUGGGGACAGGAAAAAUGAGGUGGGCUCCUGGGCUCCUCUAUUGCCUGUAACUGCACCCCAGACUUGGACUGGGGACUGAAGCUUGGUCAUUGGUCCCUAGGCCCGAGAGUCACUGCAACAAGGAUGUGGCAGACAACUGGGGCUCUGGGUUCUGUCUGUGGCUGGGUGGGAAGGGGAAAGCCAGCUAAAUUUCCAGCAUCUUCCCAAUGGAUUCUCCCUUGGUUGUGACCCAGGAGCCAUGCUAAGUGGAAGGAGUGGCCAUUUGUGGACCUAGAGAAUGCUCCCCCUAUUUGCUUAGCAAGAGAGAAUUGAGGACAAGAAAUAGAAUACUGAAGCAGGUGGGAAUGCUGGCCUCUGCCUGCACACAGCACUUUCUGCAGUAGGAAGCUGCAUUCAGCUCUCCACAGGCCUCCAGAAAAGGGCCUGAACAUAGUUGGGACAAGAACCUGAGACUAGAACGCAGGGGCACAGUGCUCACCUCUGUCCGCUGAGCUUUUCUGAGCCUCCUCUGCUUGACUUGCCACAUCUGCCUUGCUGAGAGAGCCAUCAUUUGCAGCCACAGCUCCUUCCAAGCUUUUCUGGCUAAGAUCUUGGGCCUGGUCACUGGCUUGGCUACUCUUCCCUCUGCUGGCCAGAUGUGUAUUUGCAGAAUGAGGAAAUGACUGGAUGUCUGCCUCUCCUUGGACAAGCUAACUUCUAACUUCUGCUCAGCUGGAUUUCCACUUCCCAGCCCAGUAUUCAACCUUGUCUUUGACAUAAGAAACAUUAUGGCCAUGCCCUCACCCUGGGAACCCUGCUCCAAGGAAUCCCUGAGAGGCCCACAUGACCAGGCCUGUCAACACUACAGGACAGCUCGGUGGAGGUAGAGCUCCAUGGACCUGUCUAAGGUGGGACUGGGAUCAUGGCCAAAAGAACUUGACAGAGCCCUAGAAUAGCCCCUAAGCCUGGGGCAGCCAGUGAAGCUACACCUUGAUUUCUGAUCCACAGCAACUGAUAAUGAGUGCUCUUUACUCUAAGUUUUAAGUUUUAGGGUAUGGGACUCUAAAGUGUGUCAUGUAUCAUUGGCAUAUUUCAAGAUGGCUAGACAAACUGCAGAUCUCUGCAGCUUCAGGGAGGGCUUUGAAAUGCUGUGACAGAGAUUGACACCCACCUGAACUGAUAAACAGUGGAUGCAGGUCUGAUGUCUACCCUCUUUCUGCCUGCCUGUUACGGAUCUGGCCCAGACAGAUGACCACAGGGGUCUGUUGCUGGAAGACUGUCGGGGAAACAGGACAACCCUUGUCCCUCUGUGCCUCCCAUACUCUGCAUCCUGUGCCACUGCCCUUCCUAUAUUCUGAGUCCCUGUCUCUUGGUUUGGCUCAGUUAUCCUGCCUCAUCUCAUCCCACUUGUAUAUGACUCUUGUGCUU